GAACUCCCAGCAGCAGUAGCUGGAAGAGAACAAUUCAGUCAUGCAAAAUAAUAUUUAACUCAUUAAAGCGAUACAAGAGAAGGAAAAUUCUGGCAAAUAUCUGGUAUGUGACUCUUGUUUUAUCUCUAGGUUUAACAGAGUGUUCUCUUCAUUGGAAGGGGUGAUAAGGACUCACCAGUUAGUUAGCCUGGAUGAAUGUUUCCCUGCUUGCCACUAAUACUAGUUCCAGUACACAGACAGAACUGGCCAUUGUCCUAUCUCUUGCACAAGAUGUUUAUGCUGGCCUCAGCUCUGAGAUUGCUGAAUCCCAUAUAUGUGCCAGGUGCCACACGGUGGUGCUCCUGACUCCCCAUCACUCAGAGGCCUGAGAGGAAUUACAGUGUUUGUAUCAAAACUGGUUUGGGAGAGAAGGCUAGCACUCAGCU